CAGCAACACCGUGGGCUGGACUGACGGGGAAGGAUGUGGUCCUUUUUCGCCCGGGAUCCUAUCAAAGACUUCAACUAUGAAAUUUUACCAGGGAACCAAGAAAAGUCAGGCAUUUGGACCCUUAGUCGGGGCAAGCGCAAGACAACGGGUGAGCCAGUGUCAGUCUUUGUGUACGAGGUGUCCCAGGGUACAGAGGAGCAGACACAGCUGGCUAAAGCUGCUUUCAAACGCACAAAAACACUUAGACAUCCCAACAUCUUGUCCUACGUAGACGGGUUGGAGACAGAGAAAAGCUUGUACAUCGUCACAGAACCAGUGACCCCUUUGGCUGAACACCUGAAAAUCCAGGCAGAAAAGGGCGGAGCUAGUGAUUUAGAGGUGUCAUGGGGCCUUCAUCAGAUUGUGAAAGCACUGAGCUUUUUGGUGAAUGACUGCCACCUCCUCCAUAAUAAUUUGGGCAUGUGGGCCAUCUUUGUGGACCGUGCGGGUGAAUGGAAACUUGGAGGGUUGGAUCAUGUGACCUCAGACCAGGGAGACUCAUCCACUUUACCAACACCAAAAGUGAUCAACCCAGUCUUGGAGAAAUAUGACCCUCCGGAGAGCCCUGGCAGUGGUGGAGAAAAAUGGACUGGGGAUGUGUGGUGCCUUGGUUGUAUAAUUUGGGAAGUAUUUAAUGGACCUUUACCACGUGCCUCCUCAUUACGAUCUCUCGGCAAGAUUCCAAAGCAGCUAGUCCCACAUUACUGUGAGUUGGUGGGGGCAAACCCAAAGGUUCGUCCCAACCCUGCACAGUUCCUCCUGAACUGCAGAUCUCCAGGAGGCUUUAUGAACAACAGCUUUGUGGAGAGUAAUUUAUUUUUAGAAGAAAUACAGAUUAAGGAACCUGCAGAGAAGCAGCAGUUCUUCCAGGACCUGAGUGAGAAUCUGGACUCCUUCCCUGAAGAUUUCUGCAAACACAAAGUGCUGCCACAGCUCCUUACAGACUUUGAGUUUGGCAACGCUGGCGCUGUCGUCCUCACGCCGUUAUUUAAGGUUGGAAAGUAUUUGUCGGCUGAAGAGUACCAGCAGAAAAUCAUUCCAGUUAUAGUGAAGAUGUUCUCCUCUACCGACCGGGCGAUGAGGAUACGAUUGCUACAACAGAUGGAGCAGUUUAUUCAGUAUUUGAAUGAAGCAGCAGUUAAUUCCCAGAUUUUCCCACAUGUGGUUCACGGUUUCACAGACACAAACCCUGCAAUCCGAGAGCAAACUGUAAAGUCCAUGCUACUGUUGGCCCCUAAACUGAAUGAGACCAAUUUAAAUCAGGAGUUGAUGCGUCACUUUGCACGACUGCAAGCCCGUGAUGAUCAGGGCCCUAUCCGCUGCAACACCACCGUGUGCCUGGGCAAAAUCGCCCCCUACCUCAAUGCUGGGAUUCGCCAGCGUGUGUUAAUCUCUGCAUUCUCACGGGCAACUAAAGACCCAUUUCCUGCCUCACGGGCAGCCGGUGUGCUGGGAUUUGCUGCCACUCAUCAAUAUUACAGUGUGACUGAUAGCGCCAAUCGUAUUUUGCCCACACUCUGCACACUGACUGUGGACCCGGACAAAAAUGUCAGAGAUCAGGUAUUCAAAGCAAUAAAAAGUUUCCUCACUAAGCUGGAGACUGUUUCUGAAGACCCUUCUAAACUAUCAGAAAUAGAAAAAGAUGUGACUGGAUCGGCACAGACAGGAGGCUCAGCUGCUACGUGGACAGGAUGGGCGGUAACAGGUGUCUCGUCUCUCACCUCCAAACUCAUCCGACAUGCUCCGGCUGGUUCAGAGGCACAGCCUGCCGAAAACAGCCCCACCCCUCAACGUACUGCUGGAUCAGUAACCACAAAUACUGCAGGCAAAGACCCUGAAAUGAGUGCACAGAGUUCCAGUGCACAUAGAAUCCAAUCAGAGACGUCAAAUGAGGAAACAGCAGAGCCAGAUGGAGAACGGUGGGAGGAUGAGGAUUGGGGAAGCCUUGAGGACCCAGAGAAGGUACAAACAGAUCCAGACGAUUGGCACUCUGAUUGGUCGGCUGUUUCCUCAACACACAGGAAAAGCAAUGUGGGUCGUAAAUCCUCUGAGGCAGUUAAAAAACAGAGUUCAGAUUGGAGCUCUGGCUGGGAUGCUGAUGACAGCUGGUCCAAUGAGAAAGACGCUGAUGUUCAGGGUCAAAGUUCACCUGCUGAUGAGGGCUGGGGUAACGACUGGGAUGAAGAUGGGAAUUUGGCUGAGAGUUUCACUCCAACAGCACGAAAUAAAAUCACCACCUUAGCUGUUGUUUCAAAGAGUGCCAGCUCAAGCUCUGGCCAAGAAGGGGUGCUAUUAGCCAAUGAUUACCACUGGGAUGGAGCAGGAGGAAAAUCAGCAACAUCUGAUCAGUUUUUCAGUGCGUCUCAACGAGCAAACACCGCUGCUGCAAUGCCGGAACCGUGCCAAUUUGGUUGCUUAGGAGACCUGGCUGGAGUCACUCAGCACCCCCUGGGAUUCAAACUCACGACUCCAGGGGUUGUAGCCAGUGUCACUCGCUGAGCUACCCAUGCCCCCCAGGAAGGAUGGUUUUAAUGCAGAAGUCUGACGGCUGGGAUGUAGACACCACAGGAGACUGGGGAACCGAGGAAAACUGGGAAUCGCUGGAUGGUGAUCAAGGUCUAAGCAAGGCAGAAUUGGCAAAGAAGAAACGAGAAGAGAGACGAAAGGAGCUGGA